rnacentral:rRNA from 1 species
UACGUAGGCAGCGAGCGUUGUUCGGAGUUACUGGGCGUAAAGAGUGCGUAGGCGGUUUUCUAAGUUUGGUGUGAAAUCUCCCGGCUUAACUGGGAGGUGCGCCGAAAACUGGAAGGCUUGAGUAUGGGAGAGGUAAGCGGAAUUCCUGGUGUAGCGGUGAAAUGCGUAGAUAUCGAGAGGAACACCAGUGGCGAAGGCGGCUCACUGGGCACCACCUGACGCUGAGGCGCGAAAGCGUGGGGAGCGAACCGG